UGAUUGCAUUUAAGCAAAAAGAUGAUCACUAAUGUUUUGUGUGCCCAUUAUUUCACUUUCAGGAGUAUUGUUCGGUGGUAAACUGGGUUGACUCUAGAGCCCUCUCCGGUACAAAAAAAGUAAACGAAAACAAAAACUGGAUAAAUGAUUUUUAGAGAUAAAGUGAAUGGAAAGAAGAAUGAUGGAAAGCAUACAAAUCCGUUCUUUCCUAUCAGUUUCUGGGUUGUCUUCCAUUGCGUCCUCUGUUCUCCGCUUCUUCAAGAGCGGAAUAACUAAAGAAGUUGAAGGAGCCACACAAGUUCAAGUAGAACCUCUCGUAUGCAAGUGUGCAUAAUGGAAGCUUUGCAAAUAAAUUUGGAUGGAAAAUCAAGUCAAUAUAAAGACCCUGCAUUGGCACAUCCUUUUUCUCCAGAACAAUAUUCAUUAUAUUGUCAGAUCGGUUCGGAUGUUUGAUGCCAAGGAUUUGCUAGGGGGAUGACUGGGUACAAUGACAUGGGAGGAUUGUUCAGCAGCAUGCAAAUCAAUACAAAAGAAAUACUUGGGCAAAUAUUCUUCAGUGCUUAUCUAUUCAGGGCCUUAGCUCAUCAGGUGGCAGGAGUUGUACUGGUGGCUGUGAUGGUGGAACUGGAAGCAGUAGCGGUGCUUCAAGAGAAAUUGUUAAAGACAGAUAGCCUUUCAAUUGCUUUUUUAUGAGUAAUUUCUUUACUAGUUUUGACACAUCUACAUGUGUUGUGUUAUCAGGUUUGAUGUUAUGUUUGAGGAACUCCAUCGAAAACAAUCUCAGUGGACAGUUCUUGACACCAAACUGGGAGUCUCAGGCUUGCAGUUGCUGAAAUCUUGUUGCCAGCCUAUAGAUCGUUUGUUAAACAUUUUUGGUGGGUUCUCAUUUUAAUUUAUGUCAUUCCUAUUUAUUAUGUAGUGGGUUAGCAUCCAUGAAUGUGAAAUGGUGCCUUUGAAACAGAAAUACAUAUGCUUAUCUUUGCCUUUGA